UGGUAAAUUAGUAAAUGUUGCAUUUCCCCUAUAUAUAUAUGGAGUGGUAUGAUUUCAACAUUUCAUUCCCAGAAUUUCCUUGCCUGUUCAGUGUCGCGGUUGGAGAGUGAAAAGCACUGUUUCUUCUUCUUCAUCAUCAAAGAAUGAUUCAAUUUUCUGAAUGGGUAUAUGAGACCAUUGUCAAAUGUUCUUUCGUUCCUGUGUCUCUCAACCCAUCUUUAAAAUCUCAAUAUGCUUCACUACAGGUCCUGUGGAAAGGCUAUGGAUACUUCAUAAUCAAGAACUUUGCAGCUGCAGUUUGGAAAGAGCAUAUCUAUCCCUGUCUUUACCAGAGCUCGAAUUGAAGGAGAAGAAAGAACUAAGUAAUGCGACUGAUAACUUUAGUCCUGCCAAUAAAAUUGGAGAGGGUGGUUUUGGUUCUGUCUACAUGGGACGACUGAAAAAUGGAAAACUUGCUGCUAUAAAAGUUCUUUCAGCUGAAUCAAGACAAGGGGCGAAAGAGUUCUUGACGGAGAUUAGUGUGAUCUCUGAAGUAGAGCAUUAAAAUUUGGUUAAGUUGUAUGGUUGUUGUGUUGAAAGAAAUAGCAGGAUAUUAAUCUACAACUACCUUGAGAAUAAUAGCCUUUCACAAACUCUUCUAGUUGGAGGUCACAGUAGUAUCUACUUUGAUUGGCGAACGCGAUGUAGAAUAUGUGUUGACAUUGCACGCGGGCUUGCCUUUCUGCACGAAGAAGUCAGGCCUCCUAUCAUUCAUAGGGAUACAAAAGCAAGCAAUAUUCUCCUUGACAAAGAUCUUACACCGAAGAUUUCGGAUUUUGGUCUUUCAAGCGGAUAUAUUUUUAGCACCUCAGUUACAUGCUGCAUCUAAGAGAUUCAGCAUUCACAUGGUAGUAUUCUAUGGUCUCGAUAUUUUUUCUGGGGGAAUAAGGGAUUGUAAUGAGUAUUGCACUUGGUGAAAUUUUGAAACAAUGGGAAACAGCUGAAGUAUUAUGUAUGUUCUUUGGAAACAGCUGAAGUAUUAUGUAUGAUCUUAGGAUGAUGGAGUCUAUAUAAUCUGUUUUGUAGCUUCAGAGAGCAUGGAAGGCUUUGAAUUGGACUCAGAAGUUGAGUUUAUUGACGAUAGUUAUCCAUGGAAUAACAUCUUUAUCAGAGAUUUCUACAAAUAAGCUUGAGGUUACUUCUCUUGCCUAGAAUGUCAAUCUCAAUUUUUACUAUUUUUUAUGUUACAGGUCCUGCUUUUAUAUGCUUGAUCCCCUUUUAAAAUGAUAUUUAGUCUUGUUCCGGGUAGAGCUUCUAGGAUCUCUUCCCGCAGUGUGCCAUGUUCAAGGUCGGUGUUUUGUGUUUAGGUUAAAUGAGAGGCUUAGGUUUUCUUUGUUUUGAUCUUUCCCCAUUUAGCUAAGAUUUCUGCUCUGUAGGCACCCUACUAAGCUACGGUUUUAGUUGGGGUAUCCUUGGAACCUACGCCUAUUCCGAGUACUUUAUUAAUUGGGUUUAAACAGUUCGCAGACCAAGGGUAUUGAAAUAAGUUGUGAUUUAAUUCCAACCAUUCAGUUAUAGUGAAAUGUUUUACGACGGUUCAGGUUUAUGUGUGUGUGUAAGAUGCAUAAUGAAUGUACUCAAAGUGUUUAUAUGUAUAUUAUAUAUAAAACUCUCAACUAAGGAGAUGCAUAAAUAUCUAUGAUUCGCAUAUAAUCUAUGCAACAGUUUGCUUUAGUAGUAGUUAUUUGAAAAACUAAAGAGCCAAAUCUUGGUAUUAGUUAUAGAAAGCAAGUUCAGAUGAUGCUACACUUCAGCCUUAUGAGCAGCUCAGUUUUUCAUAUCCAUCCUUAUUGCCACCUCUUAUACAUGAACGAGAUACUUAUUUUUUGUCUGUUCUGCAGUAUCUUGCAUGGUCUCUGAAGCAGAGCAAGGUUGUGGCUGUGAAUAACUGUAAAAGGGAGGUGUGAUUGGAAAAGGCCACAUGGAUGGUGUAAUAUUUGCACUGUUAGCCGAUACAGGGAAUUUGAGAUUUCGAGACCUUGCUGGGAAAAAUUCAAAUGAUGGGGGUUCUAAUGGCUGGAUUGAUGUCAUUAAUUUAAUGGUUCUUUAUAGCUUAGGCAAUUUGAGUCUCUAUCCAAUUUUCUAUACCACUAAUUGACAAAACAGCCACUGUAUCAUGGUGAGAGUGGAGUAGACCAACUUCUGGCAGUGAAAGAAAAUGGGCUCAAAUAGCAGAGAAGUUAGAAGGAAGGGUUGGCAAGCAGUGUAGAGAGCGAUGGCACAAUCAUUUGCGUCCUGAUAUUAAGUUUAGAUAUAUGUACCAAUUUUUUUAUUUCAUAUAAUUUUUUAUUACAAGUUUUGUGCUUUGAAUUUGACCCUAGGAUUAUUUUUUAUUUCAUAUUAACUGGAAUAAAUUAUUUUUGCAUAUUAAUAACAAAAGCAGUUAUGCUGUCAUGUAUAUAAUUUGAAGUCAGAUUGGUUAUCAUGGUAACAGAUUUGUUAUGCCAAUAUAUAACAUCAUAGUCAAUAGUAGGUAUAUAACUUGCAAAUUUCCAGAA